rnacentral:rRNA from 1 species
CGCAUCGAUGAAGAACGCAGCGAAAUGCGAUAAGUAAUGUGAAUUGCAGAAUUCAGUGAAUCAUCGAAUCUUUGAACGCACCUUGCGCUCCUUGGUAUUCCGAGGAGCAUGCCUGUUUGAGUGUCACUAUAUUCUCAACCACUCCAGCCUUUGCGGGUUGGAUGUGGCUUGGAUGUUGGGGGUUUCUGCGGGCCUCUCUUUUGAGGUCGGCUCCCCUGAAAUGCAUUAGCGGAACC